rnacentral:tRNA from 1 species
GACUCAAUAGCUCAGUGGUUAGAGCAUGCGAUUGCAGUGCCUUGAAAGGGCGUUAUAAUCGCAGGGUCUCGUGUUCAAAUCACGAUUGGGUCU